rnacentral:piRNA from 1 species
GAUGAGACUAUUGAGAACACAGAAG